rnacentral:rRNA from 1 species
ACGCUGGCGGCGUGCCUAAUACAUGCAAGUAGAACGCUGAAGAGAGGAGCUUGCUCUUCUUGGAUGAGUUGCGAACGGGUGAGUAACGCGUAGGUAACCUGCCUUGUAGCGGGGGAUAACUAUUGGAAACGAUAGCUAAUACCGCAUAACAAUGGAUGACACAUGUCAUUUAUUUGAAAGGGGCAAUUGCUCCACUACAAGAUGGACCUGCGCUGUAUUAGCUAGUAGGUGAGGUAACGGCUCACCUAGGCGACGAUACAUAGCCGACCUGAGAGGGUGAUCGGCCACACUGGGACUGAGAUACGGCCCAGACUCCUACGGGAGGCAGCAGUAGGGAAUCUUCGGCAAUGGGGGCAACCCUGACCGAGCAACGCCGCGUGAGUGAAGAAGGUUUUCGGAUCGUAAAGCUCAGUUGUAAGUCAAGAACGAGUGUGAGAGUGGAAAGUUCACACUGUGACGGUAGCUUACCAGAAAGGGACGGCUAACUACGUGCCAGCAGCCGCGGUAAUACGUAGGUCCCGAGCGUUGUCCGGAUUUAUUGGGCGUAAAGCGAGCGCAGGCGGUUUGAUAAGUCUGAAGUUAAAGGCUGUGGCUCAACCAUAGUUCGCUUUGGAAACUGUCAAACUUGAGUGCAGAAGGGGAGAGUGGAAUUCCAUGUGUAGCGGUGAAAUGCGUAGAUAUAUGGAGGAACACCGGUGGCGAAAGCGGCUCUCUGGUCUGUAACUGACGCUGAGGCUCGAAAGCGUGGGGAGCGAACAGGAUUAGAUACCCUGGUAGUCCACGCCGUAAACGAUGAGUGCUAGGUGUUGGAUCCUUUCCGGGAUUCAGUGCCGCAGCUAACGCAUUAAGCACUCCGCCUGGGGAGUACGACCGCAAGGUUGAAACUCAAAGGAAUUGACGGGGGCCCGCACAAGCGGUGGAGCAU